rnacentral:ncRNA from 1 species
UUUUGGGAGGAUUGAUAGAUUGAGAGCACUUUCUUGAUUCGGUGGAUGGUGGUGCAUGUCCGUUCUUAGUUGGUGGAGCGACUUGUCUGGUAAAUUCCGAUAACAAACGAGACUCUAUCCUAUUAAAUAGGUGCGUGGUUCUCUGCACCUUGCACCCUUAGAGGGACAAGCAGCUCCUAGCCGCACAAAAAAAGACCAAGAACAGGUCUGUGAUGCCCUUACAU